GAUUAACGCUAGCGGCAGGCCUAAUACAUGCAAGUCGAACGGCAGCACGGGUAGCAAUACCUGGUGGCGAGUGGCGCACGGGUGCGUAACGCGUAUGCAACCUACCUAUAACCGGGGAAUAGCCUUCUGAAAGGAAGAUUAAUACCGCAUAAUAUCACUGGACGGCAUCGCCCGGUGAUCAAAACUCCGGUGGUUAUAGAUGGGCAUGCGUGACAUUAGCUAGUUGGUGAGGUAACGGCUCACUAAGGCUACGAUGUCUAGGGGGUCUGAGAGGAUGAUCCCCCACACUUGUAAUGAGACACGGACCAGACUCCUACGGGAGGCAGCAGUAAGGAAUAUUGGACAAUGGGCGCAAGCCUGAUCCAGCCAUGCCGCGUGAAGGAUGACGGCCCUCUGGGUUGUAAACUUCUUUUAUACGGGAAUAAACCCCUCGAUUCUUCGGGGGCUGAGUGUACUGUAAGAAUAAGGAUCGGCUAACUUCGUGCCAGCAGCCGCGGUAA
rnacentral:rRNA from 1 species